UACGUAGGGGGCAAGCGUUGUCCGGAUUUAUUGGGCGUAAAGAGCGUGUAGGCGGCUUUGCAAGUCCGUUGUGAAAACUCGAGGCUCCAACCUCGAGACGCCGGUGGAAACUGCAAAGCUAGAGUCGGAAGAGGAGAGUGGAAUUCCUGGUGUAGCGGUGAAAUGCGUAGAUAUCUGGAGGAACCCCAGAGGCGAAGGCGGCGCUCUGGCUCGCAACUGACGCUCAGACACGACAGCAUGGGGAGCGAACGGG
rnacentral:rRNA from 1 species